rnacentral:misc_RNA from 1 species
GAUGAAGAACGUAGCGAAAUGCGAUAAGUAGUGUGGAUUGCAGAAUUCAGUGAAUCAUCGAAUCUUUGAACGCACAUUGCGCCCUUUGGUAUUCCAAAGGGCAUGCCUGUUCGAGCGUCAUUUGUACCCUCAAGCUUUGCUUGGUGUUGGGCGUCUUGUCUCUAGCUUUGCUGGAGACUCGCCUUAAAGUAAUUGGCAGCCGGCCUACUGGUUUCGGAGCGCAGCACAAGUCGCACUCUCUAUCAGCAAAGGUCUAGCAUCCACUAAGCCUUUUUUUCAACUUUUGACCUCGGAUCAGGUAGGGAUACCCGCUGAACUUAAGCAUAUCAAUAAGCGGAGGA